UACGUAGGGAGCAAGCGUUGUUCGGAUUUACUGGGCGUAAAGGGCGCGUAGGCGGCAAUUCAAGUCAGCUGUGAAAUCUCCGGGCUUAACUCGGAACGGUCAGCUGAUACUGCUUUGCUAGAGUGCGGAAGGGGCAAUCGGAAUUCCUGGUGUAGCGGUGAAAUGCGCAGAUAUCAGGAGGAACACCGGUGGCGAAGGCGGUUCUCUGGGAAUGUCCUGACGGCUGAGGAGCGGAAAGUGUCGGGGAGCGAACAGG
rnacentral:rRNA from 1 species